AGCCUCCUGAGGAGCUGGGAUUACAGGUGCACAACACCACGGCUGGCUAAUUUUUGUAUUUUUAAUAGAGAUGGGGUUUUGCCAUGUUGGCCAUGGCUGGUCUCGAACUCCUGGCCUCAAGGGGGCCUCCCAUAGUGCUGGGAUUACAGGCAUGAGCCACUGUGCCUGGCCUUUUUCUCUUCUUUGUCUUUAUUAACUUCAGUACCAAAAGAAGUGUACAUAAUGCCUUGUACCAACAAUGCAUCUAAUUACCUGGUUCCUUUUCCUAUUCUUCGUGAGAAACAGGGAUCUUGGACACAAUUUCCUUGGUUUACCCUUUAAGAACAAUUUCUUCAAUUUCUCCAUGCAGGUUUUCAGGUUCAGGAAGCACUUCCUGGAAAGGUGACUAAAAAUCAAUCCCUUUUUAUGUCAUUUAAAUAGAAAGGAAUAGCUUUACUGUUUAUUAAGCAGCUCAAGGAGAGCACCAGAUGACCUUAGUUCCAUCACUCAAUUUCCACCAGCAUCAGGGUUGGAAAAUCAGUUCAUCCCCAAAAAGGCAAACUUUCCCAAUGGUUCACUCUGCAACCUGCAGUCAUCUUGCUUCAAGCACAGUUAGAGUCAGCAAGCCUCUGAAUUCUGAGGAAGAACAAGAACCCUGUUGUUGUCACCUGAAGGCCAAAAACUGUUUCUACCAAGUCUAAACUUGGGAGGGCCACAGAGAGGAAUCAGGAAGGUUUUUCCACUGUGGGCUGCCCUUGCUCUUGGUGAAAGGGAGAGGAAUACUGGCUUUUUUUGUAUUCUUGGAGUAUCUGGCAGCAGAAUCAGGCAAAAUUCACAAUAAAUUUUAUAUGUCAGUACACCUAGGAAAAACAGAUCAACCAAAUGCUUGCCUUCCUGUAAAAAUGGACUAUUCACUGCAGUGAGUGCUGGAGGACAAGGUAGAGGGGACAACCAGAUGGGGACAGGCUGGAUGCAUGGAGAGGAAUGGACUUCAGGGUCAACUUGGUUUUCAAGAGAGAAGGCUGGUCAUAAUAAGACAGUAAAGGAGGCAGAAGAGAGGGAGGAAUGCCUUCUGGUCCUUUCAGAAGCCCAGGUCCAGCCCAGGAGACAAGCUGGUGACAUCAUCCUGCUCUACAAAAAAGGAAUUGUUCAGCCUCCAGUGAAACAGUCUCUGCCAUCCCAUGUGCAUUUCCUGAUAAGAUAUGAGGGGGAGAGCCUCACCUAAAUGGGAAGGCCAUGUCUGAUGUCCGUCAGCAUUUGUGACAGGGAAAAAAACCUUCACUUGAGAAUGUUCUGAGGUCCAUCACUAUCCACAGACCCUCAUCCCACUUCCUCUUCUCCUAGCCAAUCCUGUCAGCCAUUUAGUUUAUUUCAUUUUCUCUGCUUUUUCCCUGAAGAGGGAUAAGCUGGAGUUGGAAUUCCUACAGGAGGAAGACAAGUUAAAGGACAGCUUCUGUCCCUGUCUGGCCUCAGGGCCAAGAAUCCACAAGACAAGCAGAGCUUCUCCAGUGCUGAGUGUGAUGAUUUCUUAGUGUGACUCCAAGUGCUGGUACAACAGAUGAGCCUC
ensembl:lincRNA